GUGGGGAAUUUUGGACAAUGGGCGAAAGCCUGAUCCAGCAAUGCCGCGUGCAGGAUGAAGGCCCUCGGGUUGUAAACUGCUUUUGUACGGAACGAAAAGCCUGGGGCUAAUAUCCCCGGGUCAUGACGGUACCGUAAGAAUAAGCACCGGCUAACUACGUGCCAGCAGCCGCGGUAAUACGUAGGGUGCAAGCGUUAAUCGGAAUUACUGGGCGGAAAGCGUGCGCAGGCGGUUUUGUAAGACAGUGGUGAAAUCCCCGGGCUCAACCUGGGAACUGCCAUUGUGACUGCAAAGCUAGGGUGCGGCAGAGGGGGAUGGAAUUCCGCGUGUAGCAGUGAAAUGCGUAGAUAUGCGGAGGAACACCGAUGGCGAAGGCAAUCCCCUGGGACUGUACUGACGCUCAUGCACGAAAGCGUGGGGAGCAAACAGGAUUAGAAACCCUUGUAGUCC
rnacentral:rRNA from 1 species